rnacentral:lncRNA from 1 species
GGGCCCCGGGAACCCCCCUCUACGCCCGGCGCGCAGCACCGGCCCGACCGCGGCGGCAGGAGCAGGAGGAGGCCCCGCGAGGGCGCCGGGGACAUCCAGGGGGGCGGCGGGGCAGAGGCCGGCCGGGGAGCGGCGCGGAGGUCCCCCGCGCAGGAGAGCGAGGAACGAGGGCUGGGGGCGGGAGCGCGGUCGCUGCCCUUGUCCCCGCGGGCUCCCGGGGCGCCGGUCCGGGCGCUCCGGCCGCGCGCUCUGCCCCCGCGGCGGGGAGCGGCGGGGCGGCGCGCGGGCUCUCCCUCUGGCGCUCGCGCUCGCGCCUCGCCGCUCCACCACCACACGCUCACACUCACUCACUCACUCUCCAUGCACCAAACAGAAAGGCAGCGCCGCACAACAGCCGGUACCAUCCUCAAGAGCGGAGGGCGGGGACUCGCGGAACCCGGCCGCCUGUCGCAAAAACGUCGCGAAGCCUCGGCGGCUCGGCCCUCCCUCCGACCCGCGCCGCGCCCGCCGGCCGGCCGCCCCCGCCGGGGCCCGCACCCCGAGGGCUGCGCGGGCAGGACGCUGGCGGGGGCCCGGAGCUGCCACCAGACGCACCCCGUGGGCCUCCCCGGCGGUGGCCGCGGCCGCAGACUACAGUGCCCAGAAUGCCCUGGCCGCCGCCGUGGCCGCCCGCCCUGCGGCUCCACCCCCAUGUGGGAAGGAUUUCAGCCUGGCCUGCCCUGUGGAGACUGUGUCCAUGCGUGGAGGAAAGGAAAGAGAAGCAGCCAGAGACUCCACUAUGAAGAGGAGAAGGAGCCAAAGUGGAAUGUUCAUCACCUUUAUCUUCAAAAAGCACAUUAAAGCACCUGUAUUUGAGUUUUGUGUUAGACACAAAAAAUGGUAAGUUAGAUCAAUCAAUACUCCAGUCUUUUAUCAUUUUU